rnacentral:rRNA from 1 species
GAGUUUGAUCCUGGCUCAGGGUUAACGCUGGCGGUGCGCAUAACACAUGCAAGUCGAGCGAGGGCUUAUUUCUCGCAAGAGAGAUGAGUUCCUAGCGGCGAACGGGUGAGUAACACGUGGGCAACCUUUCCUAUCGCGGGGGAUAACACCGGGAAACCGAUGCUAAUACCGCAUGUCGUCACUGGUCGCAUGGCUGGUGAAGAAAGCAGCAAUGCACGAUGGGGUGGGCCCGCGGCCUAUCAGCUAGUCGGUGGGGUAACGGCCUACCGAGGCGAUGACGGGUAGCUGGUCUGAGAGGACGGCCAGCCACACGGGGGACUGAGACACGGCCCCGACUCCUACGGGAGGCAGCAGUGAGGAAUCUUCCGCAAUGGGCGAAAGCCUGACGGAGCGACACCGCGUGUGGGAUGAAGUCUUUCGGGAUGUAAACCACUGUCGGAGGGGAAGACAAAAAAG